UCGAACGCGAAAGGCCCCUUCGGGGGCUGAGUAGAGUGGCGCACGGGUGAGUAACACGUAGGUAAUUUGCCUUCGGGUGGGGAAUAACUCAGGGAAACUUGAGCUAAUACCGCAUAAUGCAGCGGCUCGACAUCGAGACAGUUGUUAAAGCGGGGGAUCGUAAGACCUCGCACCUGAAGAGAAGCCUGCGGCAGAUUAGCUAGUUGGUAGGGUAAUGGCCUACCAAGGCGACGAUCUGUAACCGGCCUGAGAGGGCGGUCGGUCACACUGACACUGACAUACGGGUCAGACUCCUACGGGAGGCAGCAGUCGGGAAUUUUGGGCAAUGGGCGAAAGCCUGACCCAGCAACGCCGCGUGAAGGAUGAAAUUUUUCGGAAUGUAAACUUCGCAAGAACGGGAAGAAUAAGUAGAAGAUAAUACCUUCUAUGAUGACGGUACCGUUUGUAAGCUCCGGCUAACUCCGUGCCAGCAGCCGCGGUAAUACGGGGGGAGCAAGCGUUGUUCGGAUUUACUGGGCGUAAAGGGCGCGUAGGCGGUCGUGACAAGUCACUUGUGAAAUCUCCGGGCUUAACUCGGAACGGUCAAGUGAUACUGUCGGACUAGAGUACAGAAGGGGCAACUGGAAUUCUCGGUGUAGCGGUGAAAUGCGUAGAUAUCGAGAGGAACACCUGCGGCGAAGGCGGGUUGCUGGGCUGAUACUGACGCUGAGGCGCGAAAGCCAGGGGAGCGAACGGGAUUAGAUACCCCGGUAGUCCUGGCCUUAAACGAUGAAUGCUUGGUGUCUCGGGUUAUAAAGUCCCGGGGUGCCGUCGCUAAC
rnacentral:rRNA from 1 species